AACGCUAGCGGCAGGCUUAAUACAUGCAAGUCGAGGGGCAUCAAGGUACACGAAAGUGUAUUGUUGGCGACCGGCGGACGGGUGAGUAAUAGGUAGGUAACCUACCUCAUACUGAGGCAUAGCUGGGAGAAAUUCCAGGUAAUUCCUCAUGAGGUUAUAUGACACAUGUGAUAUAAUCAAAGGUAUCGCAAGGUACUGGUAUGAGAUGGGCUUACUGACCAUUAGCUAGUUGGUGAGAUAAGAGCUCACCAAGGCGAAGAUGGUUAGGGGUUUUGAGAGAGAGAUCCCCCACAUUGGAACUGAGACACGGUCCAGACUCCUACGGGAGGCAGCAGUAGGGAAUAUUGGACAAUGGGCGAAAGCCUGAUCCAGCCAUGCCGCGUGAUAGAUGAAGGCCCUCUGGGUUGUAAAUAUCUUUUAUCUGGGAAGAAACAAUCUUAUUCUUAAGAUCUUGACGGUACCAGAGGAAUAAGCACCGGCUAACUCCGUG
rnacentral:rRNA from 1 species